GGAGAGAUGGCUGAGCGGCUGAAGGCGCCGGUUUCGAAAACCGGUUCGUGCGUAAGUGCGACGUGGGUUCGAAUCCCACUCUCUCCG
rnacentral:tRNA from 1 species